CCUACGGGAGGCUGCAGUGGGGAAUAUUGGACAAUGGGGGCAACCCUGAUCCAGCCAUGCCGCGUGUGUGAAGAAGGCCCUCGGGUUGUAAAGCACUUUCAGUGAGGAAGAACGCCUGGUGGUUAAUACCCAUCAGGAAAGACAUCACUCACAGAAGAAGCACCGGCUAACUCCGUGCCAGCAGCCGCGGUAAUACGGAGGGUGCGAGCGUUAAUCGGAAUUACUGGGCGUAAAGCGCGCGUAGGUGGCUUGAUAAGCCGGUUGUGAAAGCCCCGGGCUCAACCUGGGAACGGCAUCGGAACUGUCAAGCUAGAGUGCAGGAGAGGAAGGUAGAAUUCCCGGUGUAGCGGUGAAAUGCGUAGAGAUCGGGAGGAAUACCAGUGGCGAAGGCGGCCUUCUGGACUGACACUGACACUGAGGUGCGAAAGCGUGGGUAGCAAACAGGAUUAGAUACCCGUGUAGUC
rnacentral:rRNA from 1 species